UACAGAGGGUGCGAGCGUUAAUCGGAAUUACUGGGCGUAAAGCGUGCGCAGGCGGUUUUGUAAGCCAGAUGUGAAAGCCCCGGGCUUAACCUGGGAAUGGCAUUUGGGACUGCAAGGCUUGAGUGCGGCAGAGGAGACUGGAAUUCCUGGUGUAGCGGUGGAAUGCGCAGAUAUCAGGAGGAACACCGGUGGCGAAGGCGGGAUCCUGGGCCAGUACUGACGCUGAGGAGCGAAAGCGUGGGGAGCAAACAGG
rnacentral:rRNA from 1 species